GUGGGGAAUCUUGCACAAUGGGCGAAAGCCUGAUGCAGCCAUGCCGCGUGAAUGAUGAAGGCCUUAGGGUUGUAAAAUUCUUUCGUCAGGGAUGAUAAUGACCGUACCUGAAGAAGAAGCCCCGGCUAACUUCGUGCCAGCAGCCGCGGUAAUACGAAGGGGGCUAGCGUUGUUCGGAAUUACUGGGCGUAAAGCGCACGUAGGCGGACUUUUAAGUCAGGUGUGAAAUCCCGGGGCUCAACCUCGGAACUGCAUUGGAAACUGGAAGUCUUGAGAUCAGGAGAGGUUAGCGGAAUACCGAGUGUAGAGGUGAAAUUCGUAGAUAUUCGGUGGAACACCAGUGGCGAAGGCGGCUAACUGGACUGAUACUGACGCUGAGGUGCGAAAGUGUGGGGAGCAAACAGGAUUAGAUACCCGAGUAGUCC
rnacentral:rRNA from 1 species